CGGUGGGGAUUAGUGGCGAACGGGUGAGUAACACGUGGGCAAUCUGCCCUGCACUCUGGGACAAGCCCUGGAAACGGGGUCUAAUACCGGAUACUGACCCGCUUGGGCAUCCAAGCGGUUCGAAAGCUCCGGCGGUGCAGGAUGAGCCCGCGGCCUAUCAGCUUGUUGGUGAGGUAAUGGCUCACCAAGGCGACGACGGGUAGCCGGCCUGAGAGGGCGACCGGCCACACUGGGACUGAGACACGGCCCAGACUCCUACGGGAGGCAGCAGUGGGGAAUAUUGCACAAUGGGCGAAAGCCUGAUGCAGCGACGCCGCGUGAGGGAUGACGGCCUUCGGGUUGUAAACCUCUUUCAGCAGGGAAGAAGCGAAAGUGACGGUACCUGCAGAAGAAGCGCCGGCUAACUACGUGCCAGCAGCCGCGGUAAUACGUAGGGCGCGAGCGUUGUCCGGAAUUAUUGGGCGUAAAGAGCUCGUAGGCGGCUUGUCACGUCGGUUGUGAAAGCCCGGGGCUUAACCCCGGGUCUGCAGUCGAUACGGGCAGGCUAGAGUUCGGUAGGGGAGAUCGGAAUUCCUGGUGUAGCGGUGAAAUGCGCAGAUA
rnacentral:rRNA from 1 species